UACGUAGGGUGCAAGCGUUAUUCGGAAUUACUGGGCGUAAAGCGUGCGCAGGCGGUUUUGUAAGGCAGGUGUGAAAUCCCCGGGCUUAACCUGGGAACUGCGUUUGAAACUACAAGGCUAGAGUGUAGCAGAGGGGGGUGGAAUUCCACGUGUAGCAGUGAAAUGCGUAGAGAUGCGGAGGAACACCGAUGGCGAAGGCAGCCCCCUGGGUUAACACUGACGCUCAGGCACGAAAGCGUGGGGAGCAAACAGG
rnacentral:rRNA from 1 species